rnacentral:lncRNA from 1 species
AUUUCUGAAGGGAAUCUGGCAAUGUGUAUCAAGAAACAACAACAAAAAAUUAUACCCUUUGAACCAUGCAAUCACAGAAAAGCACUGGCCUGAUUGAAAACCCUACUCCUUCUUCUUGAUGCUUGGCCAACAGGAUGCCUUCUCAUUUGGACUUCAAAGCAAGUGGCUGAGCAGCAAGAGAAGUCGCCCCCAGAGCUUGGAGAGUUUGGGGCAGGAAUGUAUACAUAAGUCUGGAACAUCUUGCCACACCAGACACAAGGAUCAUCUGUUAGCGAUGACAACAGAAGGAUCAUCUCAGAAGGACUCAGGAGCCAAACUAAAUACACUCUCCCUGCCAAAGGAAAUACAUUACAGCCCAGUGCUUCCUACAGGAACUGAAAAACCAGAUGGCCUGGAUUUGAAUUCCGGCUUCCACCUCCUACAGGCUCUGUGAGCUUGGCAAGCUCCUUAACCUCCCUGUGCCUCAGUUUCCUCGGCUGUAAGAUGGGGACAA